GACGAACGCUGGCGGCGUGCUUAACACAUGCAAGUCGAACGCUGAAGCUCAGCUUUUGUUGGGUGGAUGAGUGGCGAACGGGUGAGUAACACGUGAGUAACCUGCCUCCUUCUUUGGGAUAACGCCCGGAAACGGGUGCUAAUACUGGAUAUUCACUGUUCUUCGCAUGGGGGUUGGUGGAAAGGGUUUUUCUGGUGUGGGAUGGGCUCGCGGCCUAUCAGCUUGUUGGUGGGGUGAUGGCCUACCAAGGCUUUGACGGGUAGCCGGCCUGAGAGGGUGAACGGUAACAUUGGGACGGAGAUAAGGCCCAGAGUAAUACGGGAGGCAGCAGGGGGGAAUAGUGCACAAUGGGCGAAAGACUGAUGCAGCGACGGAGCGUGAGGGAUGGAGGCCUUCGGGUUGUGAACCUCUUUCGCACAUGGUCAAGCCGAAACAAUGGUUGUGGUGAGGGUAGUGGGUAAAGAAGCGCCGGCUAACUACGUG
rnacentral:rRNA from 1 species